rnacentral:rRNA from 1 species
GCGUGUGUUCUGUUCUCCGAGGUGGUUGGACUCCCCGUUGGUUGGUCAGGUCAGGUCAGCAGAAGGGGUAGAGGCGAGGUGGGGUUAAAAGCUGGGCAGAGCGGGGAAACGGGGGGGGGCAGAGAGGCGGCGGACGCGAUCCGCUAGCGGCCGCGUCCUACCGCCGCCGACCACGUCGCUGCGGCCACCCGCGUCGCGGGUCCCACCCCGACGACAUGCUGCUAUCCUACACGCGCGUGCGCUGCGGACUGCCCCUCUUCGUGGGCCUCUUGGGGCUCGCCGACGCGCGGUAGGCCGCGUUCGAGCUGCGGCUCCCGCAGCGCAGGUCCACACACCUGUACUUCCGUUUCCUCCGGUUUCUUUUUAUAUAUCGGAGACAGGUAUGGGGUUUAGUAUAUUUUGACUAUUCCCUAUAGUCGAGCUUCCUCAUACUAAUGGCAGCUUUGUUCUGACGAUCCUUUAAGUUAAGGUAAAUGAAGUUACUCCCGAGGAGUCUCAGACGAAAGGAACGUCGACCAAGACAGUAGCUCCAACGACUCUUCCAACGCCGUCCACUCAACUCAAGACGAUAGCGAGAACAGUCCGGAGGUCCGGUGGUACGACUUGUAUUACUCGGUUACCCUAAAACAGAGAAGUUGUUGCACCGAUAACGUCGUUUAAUAGAGAAUUUACUCUCCGGACUGGAUCCAUAGUUGUUCUAUAAUUAGCAGCUAACCCUACAAGUAGUACCUUUACCGUGUGUCUUCUACAAAAUAUCACUGAGAGCACAUAACAAGAAAAGUCACGUGUCUAAACUAAUGCCUUCGAAGAUGGGAACACUUCCCCUACGUAGAGUGACAAAGUAACCCCUUCCUCGACCACUUCCCAUGUUGUAAUUACACGGGACCCUCGUACCAUUUACAUCACUACGUCUAAUACAACGACGUACCCUGGUACAUGACGAAGGAUAACGUCUUCGUAAACUAGGACUAUAUUAUAAUGACAGACGACCCAAACUGCGUCGUUACCCACUAGGAGAACCACCAACGACGUAGUGAGGUCUACCUAUACGUGACGAUGAUUGUUUCGACAAUCCAAAACGUUUUCCUUCCUAACACUACCGAGAACUUCCUCCGAUAUUGGAAUUCAGGUAUCGUUUGAGUCAAACACGAACGUGUUUUCAAAACAACCCUCUAUUGAAGUGUAUAUUGAGAGGUGCCUACGUUGGUAAACUUAGAUGUACCUCUCAGUAUGUUUACCAUNNNNNNNNNNNNNNNNNNNNNNNNNNNNNNNNNNNNNNNNNNNNNNGCCUAUUACAUGGAAACUCCUCACGUGGCAGUAUAUAGCUCGGCAUGCGUAGGAGACCAAGACUCAGACUACAACUUCUACAAUCACUCGAAGGACUACGAUAAAGUAGACAGUUACAAUGAGUUCAACAACUACUACAAAAUUCAUUUGUGUAGUGUUACAACUUUGAACUGCUUCUAUUGGAGCACUGCUUCUUGUGGAGUUCACUAAGUCAAGUUCGUGUUCUGCUGCAUGGACAACACCGCAGAUGUUCUUAUAUACUAGAUGGUAAAUGAACCUCUAGUCGUAACAGUUUUCAAAUACAAACCAUACGGUCGAAACCAAGUUUGUACACCUUUGGUUCCAAGAACUCGAUGUAACUUCCCCCCUUCCAACUACCAUACUCAUAUAGUACGAAACCAAGUGUACUGUGUUCGGGUGGUUCUCCAUGGUACACCUUCUGACACGGAGUAUCUAACAAAAAACCCUCUAGAAGAUGGGGAACGACCCCAUGGCCACCACAACGAAAGGAGUUGGGACUCUGUUUGAUGUUACUACUCAGUAUACAGACGUACAUGUUUUAUUGCGAACUCGUCAAGUUACUACAUAACAAAGUUCUCUUGUCCAAUCACUUCCUAUUGUCGCUUCUACCUUUUGAACUCAGAGGGUCGAGAGGAAACUAACCGAACAGGCUUUAUCUCAGACAGAGAAGUUUGUUUCGAGAAGUAGAACUUGGAUAGUUCCUAUCGACCAUGAGGUUACAUGAAGUGGAACCUCUCCUCCUGCCGGAAGGUUAGAAUUGAUACUGUACGGGGAGUUGUCGACAACGCGUCGUGUUUAGACCGCUCGACGGUAAUCGAGGAGGUAGACUCUGGAUGAGGCGGUGAGACUAGUUCCCUGAGCACCUUCCCUUCGUCGACCUGCGGUUGCUCCGGCGGUUGAUGUAGAGGAGACGACGGCGUUCUUCGGACACUUGAACACCUCCGACGAAGCGGCACACAACACAUGUCGGUCACCCUUCCUUCCUUAAUUCCCUAACACGCAUCAUCCGUACAUUUUUACAUCAAACUAAGCCUUGGUCCCCUCGGCAUCUCCGGAGUAAAACACGGUGGUAACCUAGACUGAUACAAGUAGUCAUCCUAGCAAACCUCAAACGCGACCUAACUACUGAUGAGUCUUAUAAUUUACCUACUUGAUCAAACUCAUCG